rnacentral:rRNA from 1 species
GAUGAACGCUGGCGGCGUGCCUAACACAUGCAAGUCGAACGGAGUCGUUUUGGAAAUCUCUUCGGAGAUGGAAUUCUCGACUUAGUGGCGGACGGGUGAGUAACGCGUGAGCAAUCUGCCUUUAAGAGGGGGAUAACAGUCGGAAACGGCUGCUAAUACCGCAUAAAGCAUUAAAUUCGCAUGUUUUUGAUGCCAAAGGAGCAAUCCGCUUUUAGAUGAGCUCGCGUCUGAUUAGCUAGUUGGCGGGGUAACGGCCCACCAAGGCGACGAUCAGUAGCCGGACUGAGAGGUAGAACGGCCACAUUGGGACUGAGACACGGCCCAGACUGCUACGGGAGGCAGAAGUGGGGAAUAAUGCGCAAUGGGGGAAACCCUGACGCAGCAACGCCGAGUGAUUGAAGAAGGCCUUCGGGUUGUAAAGAUCUUUAAUCAGGGACGAAACAAAUGACGGUACCUGAAGAAUAAGCUCCGGCUAACUACGUG